rnacentral:rRNA from 1 species
CUGGCUCAGGACGAACGCUGGCGGCGUGCCUAACACAUGCAAGUCGAACGGGGAUAUAUUUUCGGAUGUAUCCUAGUGGCGCACGGGUGAGUAACGCGUGAGCGACCUGACCCAAAGAGGGGGAUAACAUCGAGAAAUCGAUGCUAAUACCGCAUAAGACCACGGAGUCGCAUGGCUCUGAGGUCAAAGGAGCAAUCCGCUUUGGGAGGGGCUCGCGUCCCAUUAGAUAGUAGGCGGGGUAACGGCCCACCUAGUCAGCGAUGGGUAGCCGAGCUGAGAGGCUGAUCGGCCACACUGGAACUGAGACACGGUCCAGACUCCUACGGGAGGCAGCAGUGGGGAAUAUUGGGCAAUGGGCGAAAGCCCUGACCCAGCAACGCCGCGUGAGGGAAGAAGGUUUUCGGAUUGUAAACCUCUGUCGCAGAUGACGAAGAAAGUGACGGUAAUCUGUGAGGAAGCCCCGGCUAACUACGUGCCAGCCGCCGC